UCCGGACGGCGUCUUGGGACGGGUGUUGAGGGAAUGUGCAGCUCAGUUAGCUGGUGUGUUUACAAACAUUUUAAACCAGUCACUGAGCCAGGCUGCUGUCCUCCCCUGCCUGAAGUCCUCUAUUAUUGUCCCACUCCCUAAGACCACUCUCAGAGGGUGAGAGUUGGCCCUCACAUCUCUUCGGCCAUUUGCCUCAGCACAGGCUCCCCUCAGGGCUGCGUGCUGAGUCCUUUGCUCUACACCCUCUACACCUAUGACUGCACCCCCUCUCACUCCAGCAACAAUAUCAUUAAGUUUGCUGAUGACACUACUGUGGUGGGACUCAUUUCUAGUGAGGAUGAGUCCGCCUAUAGAGAGGAGGUGCAGCGGUUGUCGGUCUGGUGUAGGGAGAACAAUUUGAUACUCAACACCUCAAAGACAAAGGAGAUGGUGGUGGAUUACAGGAGGCAGAG